CCUGCGCGAAGCCCCAUUAUCUUCAUAGACUUCCUCGUGAGGUUCUUCCCAGCCCAGGUUCACAGCCAGGUCUUCCACAGCAACUUUAAUCACAUCACUCCGAACACCUAUAUCAGUAGCGUAUCUGCUCAUACAGUACAUUCCGGCUGUUACUGUUGCAACACCAACAGGACUUGGCAUUAGCAACUUUAAAGGGGACGACAGGAGAGCAGCUAAUGGAGCACCAAUGACUGAAGAAGCUUGACCACUUCUUCCAAC
rnacentral:misc_RNA from 1 species